rnacentral:tRNA from 1 species
GCGGGGUUAGUGUAACGGUAGCACCCCGGCCGGAAGUGAGCGACCGGAAGUGGCGGUUCGAAUCCGCUUCUCCGCU